rnacentral:rRNA from 1 species
GACGAACGCUGGCGGCGUGCUUAACACAUGCAAGUCGAACGGAAAGGCCCUGCUUUUGUGGGGUGCUCGAGUGGCGAACGGGUGAGUAACACGUGAGUAACCUGCCCUUGACUUUGGGAUAACUUCAGGAAACUGGGGCUAAUACCGGAUAGGAGCUCCUGCUGCAUGGUGGGGGUUGGAAAGUUUCGGCGGUUGGGGAUGGACUCGCGGCUUAUCAGCUUGUUGGUGGGGUAGUGGCUUACCAAGGCUUUGACGGGUAGCCGGCCUGGGAGGGUGACCGGCCACCUUGGGCCUGAGAUACGGCCCAGACUCCUACGGGAGGCAGCAGUGGGGAAUAUUGCACAAUGGGCGGAAGCCUGAUGCAGCAACGCCGCGUGCGGGAUGACGGCCUUCGGGUUGUAAACCGCUUUCGCCUGUGACGAAGCGUGAGUGACGGUAAUGGGUAAAGAAGCACCGGCUAACUACGUG